AUGGAGUUUAAAGAAUCCAGUUUUUACUGUUAUUUUAUCGUUACACUUCAUGGCAGUCAAGUGUUGGACAUCCAGUUUUUGGAUCUGGGACUUCCUGCUUCUCUGGAGGUCAGCGAGCUCAGGGAGAUCCCACCAAUCUACCUCAGAGAGCUCCUCACCAUACCACCUCAGGCUAUAAAGUGCCUCCUGGAGGGUCUGAAUGCAGACGGGGAUGUUUGGCCUCCUGAAGCCGUUCUGUGGUUGAGAGAGACAGUCCACAACAAAGUCCCCAGUUGCAUGAAGAUAGUCAAGCUUGAUGAGACCAGGACUGUGCACGUCUACCUCUUCAGUGGAAAUGGAGCUCAUGACCUUCAGAGCAGCAUUAACCACCAGCUAGCCUCAUGUCCAUUCUGGCAACAUGAUGCCUACUUCAGCAAGAUCGCCAGGGUUUCUGAACCUAUCGUGCCAGAGGCAGGGGACAGCCUCAAUACAACUCGCACGCAGUCAAAGGCCCUCACAUUGCCCCCUCAGAUGGACUUACCACUGGUCGGGCAAAACAUGGAUGUGUUUGUGUCGGUUGCAUGUCACCCUGGGCACUUUGUGCUGCAGCCGUGGCAGGAACUGUACAAGCUAGUAGUCCUGAUGGGAGAGAUGAUCCUGUACUACAACAAACAGGAAGUAACCCAAAUCAACCUCCAGAAAAAUCACGUCUACGCUGCCAAGAUUGACAACAAUUGGCAUCGUGUUUUGGUAAAGAGCGUCCUGACCAAUGGCUUAGUGUCUGUGUAUGAACUGGAUUAUGGAAAUACGAGUUGAUAAACUAUUCCCAGUUCCAACCACUCAUCGAUGAGUUCAGGCAGCUGCCAUUCCAGGGCAUUUUUGCUCAGCUGGCUGGUGUCAAGCAAGGGGUCUGGUGUGAGGAAGCUUCCAUGGUGUUCCGGAACCAUGUUGAGAAAAAGCCGUUGGUGGCCCAGAUUGAGUCGAUUGAGGAGGGGGAGUGGCCCUGGGAGCGCAAAAUCUCUGUCUACCUGGUGGACACCACACAAGAGGACAAUGACAUCUGGAUCCACAACAUUAUGGUGGAGUUUUCAGAUGAGAUCAGCAGUGCUGCUUGAGACUGUUACAACUACCCUUUCCCAGAAACAUGCUGAAAACUUGCGCCUAAAAAAAAUCUGGAUCUAGAAUUCAAAAGCAUUGACUCCAUGUAUGUUUGGUCAGCUCAUUUUAUUUACACGUUCCCGAAUAGUUUUAGUUAUCGUUCCGAGUGCCAUGGGAAAGGGAUAUCUUUCUUCCUGUUUUUGCUGUUGUGAUAAAUAAUAAUAUUAUACCAUUGCCAAAUUAACUCGUUGUGACCUGAACCGCUUCCAUUUACUGUGUCUUUACCAUAGGGCCAUUUGUCUUAGGAGUAUUUUGAUUUAUUUAUGUUGGUUUUGCGUGAGACACUACUGCUUUGUAUUGUUUACUCUUGAUUUUGCACUUUGAUUUGUUUGCUGUGGUCUUAUUGUGUGUUUUCUGAAAGGAAAAUGGCCUAUUGUUAAAGAACAUUUGUACUUAGGUUCUCAUGUUUGUUUAAUUAGUUAAUAUUUGGUUCGAACCAUUAAACCAGAAGACAACAACCCGA